UGUGGUACUUUGCUCUGGCAACCCUAGCAAAGAAUACAGAGGGACUAAAAGGAGGUCCACGGAUGCGCUGCUGAAACCAGGAAUCCAGGUCAGGCCCGAUUUGUCCUGUUCCAACUAGAGAUGUGCUCCUCCUUCAGGAAGAAAUCCUGCUUUUGCCAGAAUGUACUCUUGUCUCUCCUUCUGGCCCUUUGGGCUCAAGAGUUCCACUGCUGUGAUUCAUGCAGAACAAAGAGGGAGCGCCUCAGCCUGGCUGUCAAGCCCUUCAUCCAUUCACCGAUGUAUUCAUUCAGCAAGCGACUGCCAGCCGCCUAUCAGGAGAGAGGUGAGUUCUGCUCACGGGGAACAUCCCCUUCUUUUUCCCUGGGAAAAUCUGCAACCCAAGCACCUAUCUUCCAGAAGACCCACCUCCUUCUCGUCUCCUCUAGUUAUGAGCCCUUGUCCCGGCUGUCACGGCCGUUUAUCACACUCAUCUCCAGUCCUAGCUCAGCUUGCCCACGUCCAACUCAAAUCCUCCUUUUCCACGAAGUCUUCCCCCCAGACUCCAUGAACUUUGUGGUUCAUCUCUGUUCUGCCAUCACCUCUCGCUUACCUCCGACUGUGGCCCUCGCCAUCAUCUGUCUGAGGUCUUAGUUACUUAUCUACUUGACCGUGUCCCUCACUAGAUCAGGACUUCCAGAGUGAGCCGUUCAAUCAUCUUUGUGUCCCUAGUACAGAGCCUGUGCAGAACGGGCACUCAACAGUGUCUUCUGAAUUCACUGAUUUCGUGCUGUGUGCUCUGGGGAGCUGCAAAAGGGCAGGACGCGUCUGGGCUCCCCUAGGCAAAGGUCCCAGUGCUGCAGCCCAAGGCAUCCUCUGUGUCUCCUACUAGGGAUCCCACUUCUCACUCUCGAUGUGGCCUCCCCUCGCUGCCUGUUCAUCCCGGCUCACUCCCUGGUCCUGCACUGGGGGCUGGAACACAGACUUCCUGGGGGUCCCGCCGUGGUGGGAGCUCCUGGGUUCCACUUGUUUGGGUUGUUUUAGAUUCUUCCCCACUUCAGAUGAGGAAAACAAGAGCCAUUCUCCCUUCUGACUUUCCUUCCUUUUCUUUUCUCAGAUCCCUCCAGUGUAGGAGGGUGGGAGGGAGAGCUGGUCCAGGGGUGAGGGGAGACUCCUUUCUCACAGGGAGUUUUCAGAUAAAGGCUCUGGGAAUCCUGAGAAGGGUGGAAGGUGCAGGAAUGGACGCCGUGGAGUACAGGCUGGCUGGCUGGACAACACACACUUCCCAUUGAGCCAGCAACUCGGAUUUAGGAGCCAGCAGAUGGUGACCGAAGUGCCCUGCUCUCUGGAAGUCCAGGCACCAGCUCAGCUCCACACUAGCCUAGGCCCUGCAAGCAGAAUAAGCUGACCCUCCCCAACCUGCCGGCCACCCAUUCAGGAGCACUGCUGGGUGUUUAUCCAGCAACCCUUAGAGCUGGGCUUCAGGGUUGGGCCCUGAAUUCAAACCCUAAUUUUACGUGACCUAGUUUCUUGCCCUCUGUGAGACUUCGUGUCCUCACGUGUGAAUUGGGGUGAUGAUACCCACCCCAAAGGCCUGCCUCAAGGUUUAAUGAUGGUGUGCAUGGAAGGCCCUGGGUUCAGGGACUGGCACUCUACUCAUGGUGGUUCUCGGUAGAAUGAGAACCCCAGAGAGAGCUUCCCCGACAGCUGCAGGGACCAUUGUUUUUCUGCUGUUGACCUUCCAUUAUCCUCUAUAACAGUAUCCCAAUUUUGCUUUGAGAAGUUGCCUUUUCUCCACUGAGCACAGCCUGGUAGGGCUGGAAUUAGGACUCCAGUACCACUGCCUUCACCCUGACAAGGGGUAGGCACAUGCCUGUGUGAACCCUGAGAGAGCCAGCCCUUCGAGAUGGAUCCUGAGGGGCUAUCCGGGUCUGAAUUCUGAGUGGCGCUGAAAGCCAUUUGCCUACUGCAGGUUCCCUACAUGCCCUGUGCAAGCCGAACAGUAGCUCAAUGUUGGGGCCUUCUUAGCUGUCUGUUCCUGCUCACACUGCCAGAAUCAACUGCUGCCGACGUCCUCAUUCUACCACCUGAACCUGACCAAUGAAAUGUGACCCGUGGUCAACUUUAACAUCAGCAAAUCAGAACUGAACAAGCUUGCAUCCCUCAGAUGCAAUGGGAACUGGGAUUAGAAUCUAAGCAGAAACUUUUUCUAUGCAGGAUAGCCCUUCUCUUUGUUCUGGCAGACGUGCCUUUGUUUUAUACUGAAGGCUGAGUCUCCCCAGUUGGCAAACUGCUGGUUGGAAUAAAGACUCUUUUU
rnacentral:lncRNA from 1 species